rnacentral:rRNA from 1 species
UCGCGAAUUUUUCACAAUGGGCGCAAGCCUGAUGAAGCCACGCCGUGUGCGGGAUGAAGGCUCUCUGAGUUGUAAACCGCUGUCAAGUGGAGGGAAACGCGUGGUGUUAACAGCAUCACGUUUGACUGUCCGCUAAAGGAAGCCCCGGCAAAACAUGUGCCAGCAGCCGCGGUAAUACAUGUGGGGCAAGCGUUGUUCGGAAUUACUGGGCAUAAAGGGUGCGUAGGCGGUCUGAUAAGUCGGGCGUGAAAUCCGGUGGCCCAACCAUCGAACUGCGCUUGAUACUGUUGGACUUGAGUGCGUGAGGGGAGACUGGAACGAGUGGUGUAGCGGUGAAAUGCGUAGAUAUCACUCGGAACGCCAACGGCGAAGGCAGGUCUCUGGUACGCAACUGACGCUG